rnacentral:rRNA from 1 species
GAACGAGAAAGUGGAGCAAUACAUGAGUAAAGUGGCGACCGGGUGAGUAACACGUGACUAACCUACCUCCGAGUGGGGAAUAACUCCGGGAAACCGGGGCUAAUACCGCAUAACAUCGCGAGAUCAAAGCAGCAAUGCGCUUGGAGAGGGGGUCGCGGCUGAUUAGCUAGUUGGCGGGGUAACGGCCCACCAAGGCGAAGAUCGGUAUCCGGCCUGAGAGGGCGCACGGACACACUGGAACUGAAACACGGUCCAGACUCCUACGGGAGGCAGCAGUGGGGAAUUUUGCGCAAUGGGGGAAACCCUGACGCAGCAACGCCGCGUGGAGGAUGAAGCCCUUUGGGGCGUAAACUCCUUUCGACCAAGACGAUAAUGACGGUACUGGUGGAAGAAGCACCGGCUAACUCUGUG